rnacentral:lncRNA from 1 species
UUAUCCAUUUUGAUUUGAUAUUGUUCACUUCUUGUUGUGAUUUGAUAUGCUACAACCUGUAUUAUGAAUAUGGUAAAUCAUUAAAAAAAUAAAUAUAUCAAGAUAUUGUUUGGGUAGUUGUUAAAAUAAAAAAAAUCUUUCCGCAUAGACUUGACUCCCACAUAAUUUCGUAGAGGGAUUUUUUUGCAGCCUUGGGCUUAGGUGAGGCGCUUGGGGGUCUAGCACCUAAGCGAGGCGCCAAGGGGGGCCUAGCGCCUAGGCGGGGCUCCAAUGGGGGACUAGCGCCUAGGCGGGGCCUAGGCGGGGCCUAGGCGGACCUAGGCGGGGCCUAGGCGGACCUAGGCGGGGACUUUUAGAACAGUGGUAACUGCUUUAAACAAAGCUGAAUGGAGAAACAAAUAAUGUUGGGUUUCCUUGGAGCGUGUUCUAUGUGUAACCCUACUAUCCUAUGCACUAGUGAUGUACAGAACGUGACCUGCAUCCUUUCCUCUUUCCUAGAGUGUUCUAGUCUAGGAAGUAAGGAUACGGGUAUGCAACCUGGAAAUAUGAGGUUCGUCAUAUCUUAAAAAAUGGAAUUCGGGUGCGGUGGGAUACAACACAUAUUUAAUUAUUUAAUAUAUAAAUAUGUUGAAAAAUAAGUAAUUUAUUUUGACUUGGAUUAAAUACCAUUUAAGAUAUUUUUAUUUUCCAAUGUUUCAAUUAUAUUUGCCAAGCCCAAAUGAAAGUGGACCAACUUAUUUAACUUCCUACUCUUUCCUACCAAAUCCUCUCCUCUUUCGUACUCUUCUUUACUUUUCGUGCAUUUUCUUGACUUAUGUUUUUAAAAGUCUAUAUGCUAUUAAUUUAUGAGUUAUUUAUAAAUUGCUUAUGCAUGUUAGUAGUUCAUGUAUCCAUAUAGGUAAAAGAAAUUGCUGCUUUUUAAAUUUUGAUACCUAAAAUGUCAAUUGAAUAGUUGAAUACUAUUGAAUUAUAAAGUACUCCUUCGGUUCCAAAAUAUAAGAUCAUUAUUGACUUUUUGAAAUUCAAUUUGUGAUAUUUUCAAACUCAAAAUUGGUAUAGACUCUUUUAAUUUUAAUCAAUACAAUGAUGAAUGUUAC